rnacentral:rRNA from 1 species
GCCCGAGUUGUAAUUUGCAGAGGAUGCUUUUGGCGCGGCGCCUUCCGAGUUCCCUGGAACGGGACGCCAUAGAGGGUGAGAGCCCCGUCUGGUCGGACGCCCAGCCUCUGUAAAGCUCCUUCGACGAGUCGAGUAGUUUGGGAAUGCUGCUCUAAACGGGAGGUAUAUGUCUUCUAAAGCUAAAUACCGGCCAGAGACCGAUAGCGCACAAGUAGAGUGAUCGAAAGAUGAAAAGCACUUUGAAAAGAGGGUUAAACAGUACGUGAAAUUGUUGAAAGGGAAGCGCUCGUGACCAGACUCGGGCGCGGCGAAUCAUCCGGCGUUCUCGCCGGUGCACUUCGCCGCGGCCGGGCCAGCAUCAGCUCGCCGCGGGGGACAAAGGCGCCGGGAACGUGGCUCCCCAGGGAGUGUUAUAGCCCGGCGCGCAAUGCCCCGGGGCGGGCUGAGGUUCGCGCGUCCGCAAGGAUGCUGGCGUAAUGGUCACCAGUGACCCGUCUUGAAACACGGACCAAGGAGUCGUCCUCGUGUGCGAGUGUUCGGGUGUCAAACCCCUACGCGCAAUGAAAGUGAACGCAGGUGAGAGCCCU